ACAGUACUACCACUUUUAUGAGUUACGCCGAUGUACAUGCGACAGAAAUCUUGUUUUCGAAUGGCGCGAAAAUAUCUCAGCCAAUUAUAGCGUGCGUCCGUCUGCUAUUGGCUGUUGCCUACGCGCCAUAUUUUGUACGUGUGAAUUAUGAGCGAGAUAUUCUUGCUGUUCUUGUGUUUAAAAUCUUAACUUCAAACAAUAAGGUCUAUAUUUCAUUGGUGUA